AAGUCGUAACAAGGUUUCCGUAGGUGAACCUGCGGAAGGAUCAUUAAUGAAACUUCAAAGUCGGCCGACAGUUGUUGCUGGUGAUUCACUUCACAUGUGCACACUGACGGUCGCAAUCCACACACACCUGUGCAUCUAUGACUCGAGGUUGUAAUGACUGAGAGUAACUUUUACACACUCUUGUAUGUAACGGAAUGUCUUUUGUGCUAUAAUGUACAAUAUAAACAACUUUCAACAACGGAUCUCUUGGCUCUCGCAUCGAUGAAGAACGCAGCGAAAUGCGAUAAGUAAUGUGAAUUGCAGAAUUCAGUGAAUCAUCGAAUCUUUGAACGCACCUUGCACCCUUUGGUAUUCCGAAGGGUACGCCCGUUUGAGUGUCAUUGUAAUCUCACUUCAACGACUUUAUUGUUGUUUGAAUGUGGACUUGGAUGUUGCCGUGUCAUUACGGCUCGUCUCAAAUGCCUGAGUGUACCCUGUUUUGCAGCGUAUCCAGUGUAAUAAACAUUUCACUAGAGUUGGUUGAAAGACCGCGUUUGUAAUUUGGGCUCUAUGCUUCGAACCGUCUGCUCUGUGGACAAUUUCUUAACAAUUUGACCUCAAAUCGGGUGGGACUACCCGCUGAACUUAA
rnacentral:rRNA from 1 species